UCACCUUCCGAGAUUCCAGAUGAGGCCCC
rnacentral:piRNA from 1 species